AGAAAUGUAACGAUAGGAAAUAGUAGUGAUAGUUUGUUCUAUAGAGAGUCAAUGGCUGGUGGAAAUUGACGUUCAACUAUAAUGAAUCCAUCCUUGAACAUGCUUAUGAAAGAAUUGUUUCUGUAAGUAAGCACGGCAGACACCGUUAAAAGUUAGUAGAGCCGGAAGGUAUUAAUAUGCCUUCAAUCAGGGUGGCAACGCGGGAAUUAAUACUCUCGUCCCUUUU
rnacentral:ncRNA from 1 species